GAGUGGAUGGCUGAGUGGUUGAAAGCACCAAUUUUGAAAAUUGUUAUGACAAUAGUCAUCGUGGGUUCGAAUCCCACUUCACUCA
rnacentral:tRNA from 1 species